UACAGAGGGUGCGAGCGUUAAUCGGAAUUACUGGGCGUAAAGCGCGCGUAGGCGGCUUUGCAAGUCGGGUGUGAAAUCCCCCAGGCUUAACCUGGGAACUGCAUUCGAGACUGCAUUGCUAGAGUAUGGGAGAGGGAAGUGGAAUUUCCGGUGUAGCGGUGAAAUGCGUAGAUAUCGGAAGGAACAUCAGUGGCGAAAGCGACUUCCUGGACCAAUACUGACGCUCAUGUGCGGAAAGCGUGGGGAGCAAACAGG
rnacentral:rRNA from 1 species